rnacentral:rRNA from 1 species
UUUUGGUGAGGGGUCCUACGGGAGGCAGCAGUGGGGAAUAUUGGACAAUGGGCGAAAGCCUGAUCCAGCCAUGCCGCGUGUGUGAAGAAGGUGUUGGGAUUGUAAAGCACUUUAAGUUGGGAGGAAGGGCAGUAAGCUAAUACCUUGCUGUUUUGACGUUACAGACAGAAUAAGCACCGGCUAAAUCUGUGCCAGCAGCCGCGGUAAUACAGAGGGUGCAAGCGUUAAUCGGAAUUACUGGGCGUAAAGCGCGCGUAGGUGGUUGGUUAAGUUGGAAGUGAAAGCCCCGGGCUCAACAAGGGAAAUAAAUCCAAAACAGGCAAAAAAAAGAAAGGUAGAGGGGGGUGGAAUUUCAAGAAUAGCGGUGAAAUGGGUGGAUAUAGGAAGGAA